rnacentral:rRNA from 1 species
CCUGCCCAAUGAUGUAAAAUUUAAUGGCCGCGGUAUAUUGACUGUGCGAAGGUAGCAUAAUAAUUAGUUCUUUAAUUGGGAGCUAGAAUGAAAGGUUGAACAAAAAGUUAACUGUCUUUAAAUUAAACCUUGAAUUUAACAUUUAAGUGAAAAGGCUUAAAUAUUUUAGGGGGACGAUAAGACCCUAUAAAUCUUUAUAUUUAAGUUUAUAAAAUAAAAGAAUAAAAAUAUAUUUUGUUUGAUAGGUUUAAAUAUUUUGUUGGGGCGACAAGAGUAUAAAAUGUAACUGCUUUAAAAUAAUAGUUAAACGGUGUUUAAUUGUGUGAUCCUUUAGUAAAGAGUAUUAGUUUAAGUUACUUUAGGGAUAACAGCGUAAUUUUUUUUGAGAGUUCAUAUUGAGAAAAAAGUUUGCGACCUCCGAUGUUGAAUUAAAGAUCCUUUACGGUGCACAAGUUGUAAAAGGAGGUCUGUUCGACCUUUAAAUCUUUACGUGA